rnacentral:rRNA from 1 species
UACGUAGGGUGCGAGCGUUGUCCGGAAUUAUUGGGCGUAAAGGGCUCGUAGGCGGUUUGUCGCGUCGGGAGUGAAAACACCGGGCUUAACUCGGUGCUUGCUUUCGAUACGGGCAGACUAGAGGUAUGCAGGGGAGAACGGAAUUCCUGGUGUAGCGGUGAAAUACGCAGAUAUCAGGAGGAACACCGGUGGCGAAGGCGGUUCUCUGGGCAGUACCUGACGCUGAGGAGCGAAAGCGUGGGGAGCGAACAGG